UAUACAAAGGAAAUCAAACAAAAGCCCUAAGCAACCCUAAAGUCUCUCACACACACAUCUCAAUCUCAUAUUCUCAUUCGCCUCCUUCGGUCCUCACCCUUCUCUCUUGUCUAAGCCACAAACACGAUUGUUCCCUCUCUUUCUCAUUUGAUCUCGAUCCUUCCUCAUCUCUUUCGUCUGAGGUCUCAGCAACGUCCGAGUGAUCCUUCCCUUUCUCUCUCGUUUGAGGUUUGAGCUUGAGCCAUGGUCGAGAGAUCGACUGAUCUCUUCCAGUUCUGCCAAAUAUGGUCGACGAUGACACACAAUCGGCGACGGCACACACGGUUGAAUGGCUAGAGGAAAAUGAAACAAGGAUUAUUGCUCCGCAUAGUCGUACACGCCGUUGUAUUUGCUGAAGGCCAAAUUUCAGAUAAAAAAAAGUUGAAGAAGAGGUGAAAAAGUAAAAAGAAUAGAGAAAGAGGUAAAAGGAGAAAAAAUCUCUUCAUAUAUAUUUGAAAAUUGUUAUGAGAUGGAUAUUUUGAAAAUCUCUCCAUGUAGUGAUGUAUUUAUAUAUAUGGAUGAAUUUGGUCACCAUAUUAUUCAGGGCUACAAUAAUAACAACAACAGCAACAGUAUCACCAUCAUCAUAUGUUGCUCCUGCUCGCUUGUGGGUUUUUAUUGUUAUUACUUCUUCUAUAUCAUACUUUUAUUUCUUUUGACUUCCAAUUUUAAUUAUAGUAUAAUUAUGAACUAUAUUUACUUGUAUUGAUAUCAAAGGUGAGGAGAAGACUAUUGCCAAUGUGUAAACAUAGUUUUUUUUAAGUUGUAAUGUGUAAUAUUUAUUUGUAUUUUGGAAUUGGAUGACUGUAUUAUAGUUGGUAUUUGAUUUUUUUAA